GAGGGCGUAGCUCAGCGGUGAGAGCGCCUGACUGUGGAUCAGGAGGUCGCGGGUUCGAACCCCGUCGCCCUCCCCA
rnacentral:tRNA from 1 species